GUCCCUGUAGCGCAAUGGAUAGCGCGUUGGAUUUCAAAUCCGAAGGGCGUGGGUUCGAAUCCUAUCUGGUAUG